CCCUUACCAGCUGAAAGUUUCUAGACGAAGGGCAUAUACCAGUUAAACUCCGCCAUUUUGCCUCUCAGUGUUCAAGCUUGAGCCCACGCAUCCAACUCCUGAGAUCUUACUGGGAAGCUGCUGAUCAUCAGUUUCAGGAAGUCAGCAUGGAUCAGCCUUACGUUCAUGGCCUCCAGGCCCUAUUCUCCUGCCUCACAGGGACCGGCCAGGAUCUCUAUCCUUACAGCACGUUGGAAUGUAUAUGCUCCUCUCCCCACAUCGCCUUAGGGAGCAGGCAGGUGUCAGGGGCAGCACAAGGACGGCCAACAGGACAGUUCAGCAUGGCUGGGGAGGCCUCAGGAAACUUACAAUCAUGGCAGAAGGAGAAGCAAACACGUCCUUCUUCACAUGUCGUCGUCAUCAAGGAGAAGUGCUGAGCCAAAGGGGGAAAAGCCCUUGAGAAAACCAUCAAGUCUUAAGACGGGUUGAAGAUCCGAGAGGCUGAGUCACUUCCACAAAGUAACACAGCUGAUUUUAAAUGCCUGCAUUCAGCAUCCCUGCAGCAGGCUCCAGGUGGAAUUCUAAUGGGACCAGCCUCCAGUCCCUGGACCUUAGCCGUGGAAGGAGAGAAGAGGACAUCUGCACCUCCUCUCAGAGAAAGCCUGAUGCCUACUAAAGGACUUGGGUGGUGGACGCAGUGACCCUCAGUCUGGAGCUUGUUCACUGAACAUUGGAGACUAUCAUUUGCGCAGAUGGUCUUGGGCCUCUAUGAGCAGCAGGCUGCACCCCACAGUGACCUCCUCAUUCUACUCUGAGGCAUCUUCAUGAAAGCAGAUGUCCAUUGAAAAGCACCCAAGUGCAGUCUCAGCUGAUGAACUUCAGAGGCGAUUGAGACAAAGGCUCUCGGUCCCCUCUGCCCUUGGAUGGUGCCUCUGGUAUGCACUUGGCCUCUGUGUCUUUAUUUAGACUGGUCACUUCACAACCCAUCAUGUCACCCCACCCCUAACCGUGCCCACUCUGGGUCCUCCCCUCAACUGCCUGACUUCCCACUUUGAGCUCAGCAAAGGCAAUAGAUGUUUUGUCUGCUUCGAUACCCUAAAUGCAUGGCGUGGAAGCUGGCACACAGUGGGCCCUUGAAAUUUGGGAGUGAAUAUGUAUAUAUAUUAUAUUCCAACCUCAACUUUCCUCACUGCUCCUCAUAGUAGGAAUGGAUUGUAAAACUUCCCAGAAUGUUCAAGAGGAGAAAGGAGAGAAAACAGCCUGGAAUUUGAGCUAAGGGGCCCACAGCCCAGCCACCAAGCCAUCUGUAAAAUGGGGUGGGAAUAUGACAUGAGCCACAGGGGUGCUAUGAGGGUUAAUGAGGUCACCGUGCGAUGUACCAUGCCAACAUGAAUAACCAGACCUCUUGAUA
ensembl:lncRNA LINC02318 long intergenic non-protein coding RNA 2318